ACUAAUUAGAACAACAGGGGCGGGAUCUCCUGCCCUCUCGAUUGUCGGGAAGCAUGGACAGACAUAUACGCUGAGUGGUCGUUCCCCACUAAGCGCGAAAAAAGAGCUUCUCACCAAUCUUCGAGGGUAGCGCUGCUACCCUCUUUUUUCUG
rnacentral:sRNA from 1 species